rnacentral:rRNA from 1 species
AGGACGAACGCUGGCGGCGUGCCUAAUACAUGCAAGUCGAGCGCAGGAAACCGUCUGAACCCUUCGGGGGGACGACGGCGGAAUGAGCGGCGGACGGGUGAGUAACACGUAAAGAACCUGCCCACGGGUCUGGGAUAACCACGAGAAAUCGGGGCUAAUACCGGACGGGUCAUCGGACCGCAUGGUCCGAGGAUGAAAGGCGCUCCGGCGUCGCCCGUGGAUGGCUUUGCGGUGCAUUAGCUAGUUGGUGGGGUAACGGCCCACCAAGGCGACGAUGCAUAGCCGACCUGAGAGGGUGAUCGGCCACACUGGGACUGAGACACGGCCCAGACUCCUACGGGAGGCAGCAGUAGGGAAUCUUCCACAAUGGACGAAAGUCUGAUGGAGCAACGCCGCGUGAACGAUGAAGGCCCUCGGGUCGUAAAGUUCUGUUGUAAGGGAAGAACAAGUGCCGCAGGCAAUGGCGGCACCUUGACGGUACCUUGCGAGAAAGCCACGGCUAACUACGUGCCAGCAGCCGCGGUAAUACGUAGGUGGCAAGCG